CACUCCUGCGGGAGGCAGCAGUGGGGAAUAUUGCACAAUGGGCGCAAGCCUGAUGCAGCCAUGCCGCGUGUAUGAAGAAGGCCUUCGGGUUGUAAAGUACUUUCAGCGGGGAGGAAGGCAAUACGGUUAAUAACCGUGUUGAUUGACGUUACCCGCAGAAGAAGCACCGGCUAACUCCGUGCCAGCAGCCGCGGUAAUACGGAGGGUGCAAGCGUUAAUCGGAAUUACUGGGCGUAAAGCGCACGCAGGCGGUCUGUCAAGUCGGAUGUGAAAUCCCCGGGCUCAACCUGGGAACUGCAUUCGAAACUGGCAGGCUUGAGUCUUGUAGAGGGGGGUAGAAUUCCAGGUGUAGCGGUGAAAUGCGUAGAGAUCUGGAGGAAUACCGGUGGCGAAGGCGGCCCCCUGGACAAAGACUGACGCUCAGGUGCGAAAGCGUGGGGAGCAAACAGGAUUAGAUACCCCAGUAGUCCCAUGA
rnacentral:rRNA from 1 species